GCUAAAGCAAACUCACGAAAGGUUCUCAAAUUUCGCAAAUAAGGUGCUGACAAUUUGUACUGACUUGUAUUAAAAAUUUAUUAGUUUUGACCAUUGUCUUGUUGAAGCUGAAGUAAAAUGACGAUCGUCAGGACAUUUCUUCUCUUCGUUUCCCUUUGUGUUUUUUACAAUGUGGUAUUGUCGUUGAUGGGUGAGCGCCUAUUCGUUUUUGAACCUGAAGUAAUUCAGCGCGUCUCGAAGAAUGCAUUAGUAGAAGGUAGAUCUAUAGAAGAGGUAAUGAGGAACAUUACUGCCGAGCUAGAAAAAUUGUAUCCAGGUCGCAUCGAUUCUGAGGAAGAAUGGAUUAUAAACACGGCAGGAGGGGCAUUAGGGCAAAUAUCGCUCUUGUAUUGCAGUUUGACAGAAUACAUUAUCUUUUUUACAACGCCUAUAAAAACCCAAGGCCACACUGGAAGAUUUAUGGUAGACGACUACUUCACAUUGCUGAAAGGAACUUAUAGAUCCUUUUUUCCUGGACAAUUAUACCACGAAAAAAUCAAGCCAGGAGAUACGAAAUAUAUGCCAAGGGGUACAGCAAUGGGGUACAGCAUGGGAGAUAAUUCAUUUGGUAUCGAAUAUGCACGCGGAAACAUUUUGUCAAUGAUUCCGUUUGGGAUAACUGAGUUCAUUCAUACAAAUUUCGACUACGUGAGCCUUUACAGAACUCUCUAUCACUAUAUUCGCAUCACAACAAAGGGACUGAUACUGGACAAGCUCUACUCUCCAAAAGUAUAAAAACAGAACGUAAUGAAUUCCAAUAUUUGAAGGCUCAUUUUCGCCCGAUUUGUUCUCUUAAAGAAGCUUUUUAUUUACUGCUCUACCAAACGGAGGACGUCUCUUUCAACCUGACUACCUCCUAUUCUGUACAUUGCAUGCUAAAAGAAAUCUAUUUUUCGCGACUAAAAAUCACUCUUAACACUACUGCGAUGCACGUCACGCUUACACAGCCCUUCACAAUUAGAGCAAAAUCUUUCCCUUCUCCUGCUCGGCUCUGGUUUCUUCGAACCGGAAUGUGCCUCGGUCAAGCUCCACGCAAAGAAAGAAAAGUACAAAUGUAUUGGAGUUCGAGACAGAUCAUAAAAUGCACUUUUUACACGCAAGUUGAAUCGCUCUCUGCGCUGUUUG